rnacentral:rRNA from 1 species
AACGAACGCUGGCGGCAUGCCUAACACAUGCAAGUCGAACGAGACCUUCGGGUCUAGUGGCGCACGGGUGCGUAACGCGUGGGAACCUGCCCUUAGGUUCGGAAUAACUCCCCGAAAGGGGUGCUAAUACCGGAUAAUGUCUUCGGACCAAAGAUUUAUCGCCUUUGGAUGGGCCCGCGUUGGAUUAGCUGGUUGGUAGGGUAAAAGCCUACCAAGGCGACGAUCCAUAGCUGGUCUGAGAGGAUGAUCAGCCACACUGGGACUGAGACACGGCCCAGACUCCUACGGGAGGCAGCAGUGGGGAAUAUUGGGCGAGGGGCGAAAGCCUGAUCCAGCAAUGCCGCGUGAGUGAUGAAGGCCUUAGGGUUGUAAAGCUCUUUUACCCGGGAUGAUAAUGACAGUACCGGGAGAAUAAGCUCCGGCUAACUCCGUG